GAAAUGCGAUAAGUAAUGUGAAUUGCAGAAUUCAGUGAAUCAUCGAAUCUUUGAACGCACAUUGCGCCCGCCAGUAUUCUGGCGGGCAUGCCUGUUCGAGCGUCAUUACAACCCUCAGGCCCCCGGGCCUGGCGUUGGGGAUCGGCGGAAGCCCCCUGCGGGCACAACGCCGUCCCCCAAAUACAGUGGCGGUCCCGCCGCAGCUUCCAUUGCGUAGUAGCUAACACCUCGCAACUGGAGAGCGGCGCGGCCACGCCGUAAAACACCCAACUUCUGAAUGUUGACCUCGAAUCAGGUAGGAAUACCCACUGAACUUAAGC
rnacentral:misc_RNA from 1 species